rnacentral:rRNA from 1 species
CCUACGGGGGGCAGCAGUGAGGAAUAUUGGUCAAUGGACGAGAGUCUGAACCAGCCAAGUAGCGUGAAGGAUGACUGCCCUAUGGGUUGUAAACUUCUUUUAUAUGGGAAUAAAAUGUUCAACGUGUGGGCUUUUGUAUGUACUAUAUGAAUAAGGAUCGGCUAACUCCGUGCCAGCAGCAGCGGUAAUACGGAGGAUCCGAGCGUUAUCCGGAUUUAUUGGGUUUAAAGGGAGCGUAGGUGGAUUGUUAAGUCAGUUGUGAAAGUUUGCGGCUCAACCGUAAAAUUGCAGUUGAAACUGGCAGUCUUGAGUACAGUAGAGGUGGGCGGAAUUCGUGGUGUAGCGGUGAAAUGCUUAGAUAUCACGAAGAACUCCGAUUGCGAAGGCAGCUCACUGGACUGCAACUGACACUGAGGCUCGAAAGUGUGGGUAUCAAACAGGAUUAGAUACCCUAGUAGUC